ACGCUCGACACCUACGGGAGACAGCAGUGGGGAAUAUUGCACAAUGGGGGAAACCCUGAUGCAGCGACGCCGCGUGAGCGAAGAAGUAUUUCGGUAUGUAAAGCUCUAUCAGCAGGGAAGAAAAUGACGGUACCUGACUAAGAAGCCCCGGCUAACUACGUGCAGCAGCCGCGGUAAUCUGAGGCGGCUGGCAAGGC
rnacentral:rRNA from 1 species